UACAGAGGUCCCAAGCGUUGUUCGGAUUCAUUGGGCGUAAAGGGUGCGUAGGCGGCGCGGGAAGUCGGGUGUGAAAUCUCGGAGCUUAACUCCGAAACUGCAUUCGAUACUGCCGUGCUUGAGGACUGGAGAGGAGACUGGAAUUUACGGUGUAGCGGUGAAAUGCGUAGAUAUCGUAAGGAAGACCAGUGGCGAAGGCAGGUCUCUGGGCUGACACUGACGCUCAUGCACGAAAGCGUGGG
rnacentral:rRNA from 1 species